rnacentral:rRNA from 1 species
GAUGAACGCUGGCGGCGCGCCUAACACAUGCAAGUCGAACGGCACCUGCCUUCGGGCAGAAGCGAGUGGCGAACGGCUGAGUAACACGUGGAGAACCUGCCCCCUCCCCCGGGAUAGCCGCCCGAAAGGACGGGUAAUACCGGAUACCCCGGGGUGCCGCAUGGCACCCCGGCUAAAGCCCCGACGGGAGGGGAUGGCUCCGCGGCCCAUCAGGUAGACGGCGGGGUGACGGCCCACCGUGCCGACAACGGGUAGCCGGGUUGAGAGACCGACCGGCCAGAUUGGGACUGAGACACGGCCCAGACUCCUACGGGAGGCAGCAGUGGGGAAUCUUGCGCAAUGGGGGGAACCCUGACGCAGCGACGCCGCGUGCGGGACGGAGGCCUUCGGGUCGUAAACCGCUUUCAGCAGGGAAGAGUCAAGACUGUACCUGCAGAAGAA